rnacentral:rRNA from 1 species
UACAGAGGCCCCAAGCAUUAUCCGGAAUCACUGGGCGUAAAGGGUGUGUAGGCGGUCGUAUUAGUCUUUCGUAAAAGCUUUUGGGCUUAACCCAGAAAAUGCGGGGGAAACGGUACGACUUCGAGGAUGUGAGAGGUAAAGGGAACUCAUGGUGUAGGGGUGAAAUCCGUUGAUAUCAUGGGGAACACCAAAUGCGAAGGCACUUUACUGGCACAUUCCUGACGCUGAGACGCGAAAGCGUGGGAAUCGAACGGG